UACAGAGGUCUCAAGCGUUGUUCGGAUUCAUUGGGCGUAAAGAGCGUGUAGGCGGCCCGGUAAGUCCGCUGUGAAAGUCGGGGGGCUCAACCCUCGAAUGCCGGUGGAUACUGUCGGGCUAGAGUGCGGAAGAGGCGAGUGGAAUUCCUGGUGUAGCGGUGAAAUGCGCAGAUAUCAGGAGGAACACCAAUUGCGAAGGCAGCUCGCUGGGACGUAACUGACGCUGAGACGCGAAAGCGUGGGGAGCAAACAGG
rnacentral:rRNA from 1 species